GAUGAACGCUGGCGGCGUGCCUAAUACAUGCAAGUCGAGCGAACAGACGAGGAGCUUGCUCCUCUGACGUUAGCGGCGGACGGGUGAGUAACACGUGGAUACCCUACCUCUAAGACUGGGAUAACUUCGGGAAACCGGAGCUAAUACAGGAUAACAUGUUGAACCGCAUGGUUCAACAGUGAAAGACGGUCUUGCUGUCACUUAUAGAUGGAUCCGCGCCGCAUUAGCUAGUUGGUAAGGUAACGGCUUACCAAGGCAACGAUGCGUAGCCGACCUGAGAGGAUGAUCGGCCACACUGGAACUGAGACACGGUCCAGACUCCUACGGGAGGCAGCAGUAGGGAAUCUUCCGCAAUGGGCGAAAGCCUGACGCAGCCACCCCGCGUGAGUGAAGAAGGUCUUCGGAUCGUAAAACUCUGUUAUUAGGAAAGAACAAAUGUGUAAGUAACUAUCCACGUCUUGACGGUACCUAAUCAGAAAGCCCCGGCUAACUACGUG
rnacentral:rRNA from 1 species